rnacentral:rRNA from 1 species
GCCUACCAUGCAAGUUCGAGCGGAUGAGAGGAGCUUGCUCCUUGAUUUAGCGGCGGACGGGUGAGUAAUGCCUAGGAAUCUGCCUGGUAGUGGGGGAUAACGUCCGGAAACGGGCGCUAAUACCGCAUACGUCCUACGGGAGAAAGCAGGGGACCUUCGGGCCUUGCGCUAUCAGAUGAGCCUAGGUCGGAUUAGCUAGUUGGUGAGGUAAUGGCUCACCAAGGCGACGAUCCGUAACUGGUCUGAGAGGAUGAUCAGUCACACUGGAACUGAGACACGGUCCAGACUCCUACGGGAGGCAGCAGUGGGGAAUAUUGGACAAUGGGCGAAAGCCUGAUCCAGCCAUGCCGCGUGUGUGAAGAAGGUCUUCGGAUUGUAAAGCACUUUAAGUUGGGAGGAAGGG